GGAAUUUUGGACAAUGGGGGAAACCCUGAUCCAGCCAUGCCGCGUGCGGGAAGAAGGCCUUCGGGUUGUAAACCGCUUUUGGCAGGCACGAACCGGCACUCGCUAAUCCCGAGUGCUAAUGACGGUACCUGCAGACUACGCACCGGCUAACUACGUGCCAGCAGCCGCGGUAAUACGUAGGGUGCGAGCGUUAAUCGGAAUUACUGGGCGUAAAGCGUACGCAGGCGGCUGUGCAAGACAGGUGUGAAAUCCCCGGGCUCAACCUGGGAACUGCAUUUGGGACUGCACAGCUAGAGUCCGUAAGAGGGGGGUGGAAUUCCACGUGUAGCAGUGAAAUGCGUAGAGAUGUGGAGGAACACCGAUGGCGAAGGCAGCCCCCUGGGAUGAGACUGACGCUCAGGUACGAAAGCGUGGGGAGCAAAC
rnacentral:rRNA from 1 species